GAGAGUAUAGCUCAGUGGUAGAGCGCAUGCUUAGCAUGCACGAGGUCCUAGGUUCAAUCCCCAGUGUCUCCA
rnacentral:tRNA from 1 species